AUUAUACAAAACUUAUCUUUUUAAGCAAACCACGUGUGCCUCUUCUAUAUUCUUCCAGAACGUUCUUCCUCUUUCAUCAUUUUUGCAUAUUAUUAAGAGAUUAGGAAUCAAGCAAAUGAAAAUUGCUAGGAUCUUCUCAAACCCGUUCUUCUUCUUUUACUCAAACCGGAAAAAGUAGACGCAAGUCUCUGCUAUUUCCAUCUUUUCAGCAGGCUAUCGCCAUUUUUAGGAGGUCGAUGCUUCCUCUGAAUAAGCGGCUCGUAUAUUGUUAUUCUUCAUUCUAGAAUUAACUGGUUGCAACUACUAUUUGGUCUGUGUUGGCUUUUUGGAUGGUUCCGAUGCAAUCACUUGAUCAAGAUGGCUAGAAGAUAGUUGUCGCUCUUAUGAGAGACACACAAGUCCGCUUCCUAAGUCAUUUUUCUUUGACAACAACAUUUCAGGUAAUGCAGAAAACGUAAAGUUGCAGGCUCAUACAAGUUGUUAUGAAAAGAUAUAUUCGAUUUAGUCAAGACGACUGAUUGAUAGAGGUGGUGAUUUGGUCUGCAAUGUAGCCAACAAAGCUAGAAAAUUGGAAAGAGCAGCAAAACUAUUGCGAAAUCAAUCCCCAAUUGUAUUUUAGAAAAUAUCUAGAAGAACAACUAUUCCUCAUAAUGAAUGAAGAGUUGUCCUUAUCUUUUGUAUAGUUCUUGCCUUCAGGAU